GAGACCAAACACGGUGUAAUUCAGCACAUAUUUAUUUGUCAUUUCAAAUGUUGAGCGUACAUCGAUGACUUUACCACAAUAAGAUAUUGCCAGUAAAUAUAAUUCAAAUUACACCGUGUUUAGUCUCAUUUUAAUCAGAACAAUGUUACAAAUAUGCUGGUGAAAGUUAUAUGUAAAAAAAGUCAAUAAUAGAAAAGUUUUACAAUUUCAUGUAUAGUGUCCCCAAUGUUUAUCGUAUGUCGAUGAGUCUUUCCCUCUCUUUUUGGGGUCCCUCCCUUAUUCCUGGUGAUGGGGAUGAUUUCUUCGCGUGUCGAUUUCUGUGUAAAGCGUAGUAGCGAAAAGAAAAACAAGAAUAAUAAUAAAAUAAAAAAUAAUGGAACCACUCGGUGGAAAUGACGAAUUGUACAGACCGCGACCAGAAUGGUGGCCGCCGAGAGCAUGGUGGCCAGCGCGGCCAGGAUAGCUGCCGCAGCCACCACCGCCACCGUUUCCGGCGGGACCGCUGCCGCCCCCGGCGAUGUUGUUGCCAACGGGGGGACCAGGGGUGCCACUCCAGACCCCGUCCCCGGCCCCCGCCCCGCGCCCACCGUCACCACCGGCUCCUAGAAUGACGUCACUGUCAACGAAGGAGCAACGCGCGUCGAGGGAACACGCCGCUGCUCUGCCGCUACCCCGCUCGGACCCUCCGAUAGACCAAGAGAGGCAGCGAAGUAAGAGAAAAGAACCCAGCGAGAAAAGACGUAAGUACGCCGAAGGAAAGUGCCGAUUCCCUGCCGCUUCCCCGCUUCGGUCCUACGAUAGAAGAAGAGAGGCUGUGGAGACGGAGGAGGUCCUGCCGAAGAAGACUUCGAUAGAAUUCGGAGACUCCGGCCGAGGGUGGGGGAAGGCUACGAGGUGUCCUAAUACAUAAAAGUUUCACGAAAAAAUAGUAAGAAAUAAGAAAGUUACAAUCUUUUCCUUUGCUUGCAUUAGUAUGUGUCUCACCGAUAUUUGAUCCUCGUCAUUUCGACGACUGAUCGUAUUUCAUUCUUGACUGAUUCCGAAGGGGAUCCCCCCAGUAGUGAGGAUAGAAUUUUAACAUUUACGCUAGAGAUCUUUUUAUCAUUUACGGAGAGAAUACUGUAGUACCUAUUGUAUAAAUGUGAAACUCCAGACCCAAAAAUGUUUACACCUCAUUAUUUUUAUCUUAUUGCAGGUGAACAGGCGACGGAGAAGGAGAAUGGCGGCCGCGUUGCGGC